rnacentral:rRNA from 1 species
CCCUUAGAUGUCCGGGGCUGCACGCGCGCUACACUGAAGGAAUCAGCGUGCUAAAACCAUUGUCGAAAGGCAUUGGUAAACCCAUUAAAAUCCUACGUGAUUGGGAUCGGGAAUUGCAAUUAUUUCCCUUGAACGAGGAAUUCCCAGUAGGUGUGGGUCAUAAGCUCGCGUUGAUUACGUCCCUGCCCUUUGUACACACCGCCCGUCGCUGCCCGGGACUGAGCCGUUUCGAGAAAAGCGGGGACUGCUGCUGUCGGGGCUUUCGGGCCUUGGCUUCGGUGGAAACCGCUUUAAUCGCAGUGGCUUGAACCGGGCAAAAGUCGUAACA